rnacentral:rRNA from 1 species
GAUGAACGCUAGCUACAGGCUUAACGCAUGCAAGUCGAGGGGUAACGAGAGGAAAGCUUGCUUUCCUUGUCGACGACCGGCGCACGGGUGAGUAACGCGUAUCCAACCUGCCCCCAACUAGGGAAUAACCUUGCGAAAGUAAGACUAAUACCCUAUAAUUUCCUCAGAUGUCAUCUGACGAGGAAUAAAGAUUUAUCGGUUGUGGAUGGGGAUGCGUCUGAUUAGCUUGUUGGCGGGGUAACGGCCCACCAAGGCAACGAUCAGUAGGGGUUCUGAGAGGAAGGUCCCCCACAUUGGAACUGAGACACGGUCCAAACUCCUACGGGAGGCAGCAGUGAGGAAUAUUGGCCAAUGGGCGGAAGCCUGAACCAGCCAAGUAGCGUGCAGGAUGACGGCCCUAUGGGUUGUAAACUGCUUUUAUACAGGAAUAAAGUUAGCCACGUGUGGUUAUUUGUAGGUACUGUAUGAAUAAGGACCGGCUAAUUCCGUGCCAGCCGCCGCGGUAA